AGAAUUUAGGAGUUCGUUUACUAUGUGUAUAAAUUGUUAUAACAAUACAGCUACGAACUGUCAAAAUUCUGGUACUUUGUCAUAUUUUGGUAUGUGUUAUCCGAAAUAUUUAGGGCAUGUAAGGUCGAUGAAAACUUGAUUUCAUAAUUUCUAAAUUAACUAUAAGAAUAUCUCUUAAACUAUUGGGAAUCCUUGAGUGAAUCAUGUUGGAUUAUAAAUUGACUUCUUUGGGUAAAUAUGAGUUAUUAAUAGUUACGCUAUUUAUAUUACGCAUAAAGGCGAAGGAACCUAUAGUGCAUUUUGGAGACAAAGGAGUGAACCUAGAAGGUAGAGAAGUAUCAAGGUGAAAUAUGCUUAUGUUCAUAAGCCUAAGAGGUUAGAGUUGAUAGUAUGUCAGUGUGGUUGGGCAGCUUUGCAAUUUUUGGCGGGUCACUGGUGAUCAACAUGGUUAAAAGUCGUGGCAUGUUGUAUAAUAGUUCAAUCUUUGAUCUUUCGCUGGAUAAAUGUUAAG